rnacentral:rRNA from 1 species
UACGUAGGGUGCAAGCGUUGUCCGGAAUUAUUGGGCGUAAAGAGCUCGUAGGUGGCCUGUCGCGUCGGCUGUGAAAACUCGGGGCUCAACUCCGAGCUUGCAGUCGAUACGGGCAGGCUAGAGUUCGGCAAGGGAGACUGGAAUUCCUGGUGUAGCGGUGAAAUGCGCAGAUAUCAGGAGGAACACCGGUGGCGAAGGCGGGUCUCUGGGCCGAUACUGACACUGAGGAGCGAAAGCGUGGGGAGCGAACAGG